rnacentral:rRNA from 1 species
GAUGAACGCUGGCGGCGUGCCUAAUACAUGCAAGUCGAGCGAACGGACGAGAAGCUUGCUUCUCUGAUGUUAGCGGCGGACGGGUGAGUAACACGUGGAUAACCUACCUAUAAGUCUGGGAUAACUUCGGGAAACCGUAGCUAAUACCGGAUAAUAUUUUGAACCGCAUGGUUCAAAAGUGAAAGACGGUCUUGCUGUCACUUAUAGAUGGAUCCGCGCUACAUUAGCUAGUUGGUAAGGUAACGGCUUACCAAGGCGACGAUGCAUAGCCGACCUGAGAGGGGGAUCGGCCACACUGGAACUGAGACACGGUCCAGACGCCUACGGGAGGCAGCAGUAGGGAAUCUUCCGCAGUGGGCGAAAGCCUUACGGAGCAACGCCGCGUGAGUGAUGGAGGUCUUCGGAUCGUAAAACUCUGUUAUUAGGGAAGAACAUAUGUGUAAGUAACUGUGCACAUCUUGACGGUACCUAAUCAGAAAGCCACGGCUAACUACGUG